rnacentral:rRNA from 1 species
UACGUAGGUGGCAAGCGUUGUCCGGAAUUAUUGGGCGUAAAGCGCGCGCAGGCGGUCCUUUAAGUCUGAUGUGAAAGCCCACGGCUCAACCGUGGAGGGUCAUUGGAAACUGGGGGACUUGAGUGCAGGAGAGAAGAGUGGAAUUCCACGUGUAGCGGUGAAAUGCGUAGAGAUGUGGAGGAACACCAGUGGCGAAGGCGACUCUUGGCCUGUAACUGACGCUGAGGCGCGAAAGCGU